rnacentral:rRNA from 1 species
UACCUUGUUACGACUUCACCCCAGUCAUGAAUCCCACCGUGGUAAGCGCCCCCCUUGCGGUUAGACUACCUACUUCUGGUGGAACCCACUCCCAUGGUGUGACGGGCGGUGUGUACAAGACCCGGGAACGUAUUCACCGUGACAUGCUGAUCCACGAUUACUAGCGAUUCCGACUUCACGCAGUCGAGUUGCAGACUGCGAUCCGGACUACGAUCGGCUUUGUGGGAUUGGCUCCCCCUCGCGGGUUGGCGACCCUCUGUACCGACCAUUGUAUGACGUGUGAAGCCCUACCCAUAAGGGCCAUGAGGACUUGACGUCAUCCCCACCUUCCUCCGGUUUGUCACCGGCAGUCUCAUUAAAGUGCCCAACUGAAUGAUGGCAAUUAAUGACAAGGGUUGCGCUCGUUGCGGGACUUAACCCAACAUCUCACGACACGAGCUGACGACAGCCAUGCAGCACCUGUGUUCAGGUUCCCUUUCGGGCACUUCCACCUCUCAGCAGAAUUCCUGACAUGUCAAGGGUAGGUAAGGUUUUUCGCGUUGCAUCGAAUUAAUCCACAUCAUCCACCGCUUGUGCGGGUCCCCGUCAAUUCCUUUGAGUUUUAAUCUUGCGACCGUACUCCCCAGGCGGCGAACUUCACGCGUUAGCUGCGGUACUAAGAAAGUCUCCUUCCCCAACACCUAGUUCGCAUCGUUUAGGGCGUGGACUACCAGGGUAUCUAAUCCUGUUUGCUCCCCACGCUUUCGUGCAUGAGCGUCAGUGUUGACCCAGGGGGCUGCCUUCGCCAUCGGUGUUCCUCCACAUCUCUACGCAUUUCACUGCUACACGUGGAAUUCCACCCCCCUCUGCCACACUCGAGUUAUACAGUCACAAACGCAGUUCCCAGGUUAAGCCCGGGGAUUUCACAUCUGUCUUAUAUAACCGCCUGCGCACGCUUUACGCCCAGUAAUUCCGAUUAACGCUCGCACCCUACGUAUUACCGCGGCUGCUGGCACGUAGUUAGCCGGUGCUUCUUCUUCAGGUACCGUCAUUAGUAGCCCGUAUUAGGGACCACCGUUUCGUUCCUGCUGAAAGAGCUUUACAACCCGAAGGCCUUCUUCACUCACGCGGAAUGGCUGGAUCAGGGUUGCCCCCAUUGUCCAAAAUUCCCCACUGCUGCCUCCCGUAGGAGUCUGGACCGUGUCUCAGUUCCAGUGUGGCUGGUCGUCCUCUCAGACCAGCUACGGAUCGUCGCCUUGGUGAGCCGUUACCUCACCAACGAGCUGAUAUUGCGCAGGCCCCUCUUGAAGCGCCGAAGCUUUAGUCUUGCGACCACAUGCGGUAUUAACUCCGCUUUCGCGGAGUUAUCCCUCACUUCAAGGCAGGUACCAACGUGUUACUCACCCGUCUGCCGUGCCAGCACUCUAUCUACAUAAUAUGUACACAAAGUGCUGGCCACUCGACUUGCAUGUAUUAUACACACUGCCAGCGUUAAUCCUGAGCCAUGAUCAAACUCUU